GUUGACUUAACUUUAUUCAUAACUUGUUACAACAAGCUCUAAAAAGCUGCAAGAUCACUACUAUUACAUCUUGAGGCUUUACAAAGUACAAAGGUUUUAUAUAUUGCUCCACAUGAUGAUAAGUUGUGAGGCUUAGCUUCAAUAUAGUGACCUUAUCCAUGGAUGGCCUCACCUUUGUAGGAGCAGCACCUGCUGCAACCAUUGUAAUUCCGGCGGCCGCAGCAACCAUAGCGGCAGUAUCAUCCACCACCUCCGCGUCCGCGUCCACCGCCAGGAUAGCCACCACCACCACGGCCGCCAUUAGGAUAUCCGCCACCACCGACAGAGAUUCCGCCACCAGGAACUGGGUAUCCGGCGGCAGGGUAUCUGGCAGGGUAUCCUCCACCGCCGUAUUGAGCUUCAUGUACUUCAUUCUUGUUAUUGGAUUUCUUUG
rnacentral:lncRNA from 1 species